rnacentral:rRNA from 1 species
CCUACGGGAGGCAGCAGUGAGGAAUAUUGGUCAAUGGACGAGAGUCUGAACCAGCCAAGUAGCGUGAAGGAUGACUGCCCUAUGGGUUGUAAACUUCUUUUAUAAAGGAAUAAAACGAGGCACGUGUGCCUUUUGGCAUGUACUUUAUGAAUAAGGAUCGGCGAACUCCGUGCCCGCAGCCGCGGUAAUACGGAGGAUCCGAGCGUUAUCCGGAUUUAUUGGGUUUAAAGGGAGCGUAGAUGGGUUGUUAAGUCAGUUGUGAAAGUUUGCGGCUCAACCGUAAAAUUGCAAUUGAUACUGGCAGUCUUGAGUACAGUUGAGGUAGGCGGAAUUCGUGGUGUAGCGGUGAAAUGCUUAGAUAUCACGAAGAACCCCGAUUGCGAAGGCAGCUUACUAACCUGUGACUGACAUUGAUGCUCGAAAGUGUGGGUAUCAAACAGGAUUAGAUACCCCUGUAGUC